AACCACAGCAGAAAGGCAGGCUCGCAGCACCAGUCCCACGAGGGGCCCUUUUUCUGGGUGAAGGCAAAUCUUCCAUGAAAGACAACAGCUGAAAGCUGAGCCAUGGAGCACAGAAUUAAAGGGGGACACUGCCCAACAGGCACACAGUAAUGGCAUAUCAUUUGCCGCACCCUGUUGAUCAUCUAUGAUGUUGAAAGACAAACUUAAAUCCAAACACUUCCUCUCAAAGCAGUUCUAUGCAAAUAAAAGCAGGUUAUGACGAAAGCAUCUGUGCAUUUCUGAAGAAGUGUCAUUAGUCUGUGGCAAGAUGGAGGACAGACUAGCCCUGAAAGCAACCCUGCUGGUUUAUGAUAUGCUCUGCUACAGGCAAUUAAUUUCUACUGGGUCCAGCAAAUGUCAAUGUAGGACAAAAACAGGCCUUAGCAGAGCGGUCCACGUCUUUUAAUCCUCUCACAUUUGACAGCAAUGAAGUGACUGAAUAAAUUCAAGGACGUCCAGCAUUUUUAUACGAUAUUUGAAAUUCAGAAAGCAUAAGGAUUACUGCCGCCAAGCUGCCCAGAUCUCAAAUGAGUAUACACGAUAAGCUACAGCGUGGAAGUGGAGACAUGGAGGUAAUUAUCUCGAGUCUACUCAGGCGCCAUCCACACCGCCCAGCGCUCACAGUGGAGCAGCAAGUCAAUGGCAGUAUGAACAAUGACUGCCAGGACUGAGGAGGAGAAGAAGAAGUGGUUAUGGUGCAUAAUGGGAACCCACCCCGCCGAAUGCGAGACAAUUGACGCACUAAAGCAAAGGGGACAUUAGCCAGUCAGCUCCUAAUUAACAGCCCGCUGCUGCGAGGCCAUUUGUCUUGUCAGGAAGCGCCAACAGGGUCUCUAGGCUGUCACCCAGGUGUUAAGGCACGAGCUGGAUCUUUUGUCCGAUCCAAACCAGUCCUCAAAUCCACGUUUAAUAGAACAUAUCCACAUGUGUAACAGCAGUGGUGGCUAAGACAAUAGCUGCAGAUGGUACAGAAAUGCCUCAAUAAUGACAACAGCAGCCAUGUAGCUGUAUGCAUCAGUGAUAGCCAACACCAUAGCUGCAGAUAUUAGCAGCCUUGUAGCUACAUCCAUCAACCCGAUGCCAGGGCUAGUAUUAGGCUAAGCUAGCUAGAACUAAUAUUUGAAUAUACGUUAAUAUCUUCGUAAACAAAUCAGCAUUAGCCUAAGUGAGCUAACUCGGUCAACAAUGCCACCGACGCGACGAGAUGCCAUGAUGCCACCGACGAAACCCGGACGAGGCUGCUGCUGUUCGUCCGUGCGACCAACUGAUUUAUCGUGAUUAGUCCCAAAUCAUCCGUGUCGGUAACUUUGCGACGACGUUAGCUUAGCUCCCGGCUAACGCUUAGCCUCCAACCCCCAUUCUGAUUAUCUCAACAAGCUAGCUAGCUCUCCAUUCCACUCCACCCAAACCCCCCUCCCCCCAUGACACCCACCCACAGGGGGGGGGAAAAGACGUCAAACGUGGGUCACAUCCAUACCUGGGGUGAGCCGGUGCUCGCCUCCCAUGGCCGUGGGGGACAUGGAGUGCGUGGGGCUGUCCACCGGCGGACGGAGGUUGCAUCUCUGCGGGGACGGAGUGCCAGAAGUCCCCGGUAGUGGAUUGCACCUUCUCCGCUUGGGAGACUGAGGACUGAGGAGGGCCUCAAACUCCAUCGACCGCUUUAGCGUCGCUCCGCAGGCCAUGUUUGCUGAGACGAGACGGGCUGAACACACAGAGCUGGAGGGGGGAAAAGACCCGCGGGAACCGGGGAGUAACGGCGGCGGUUGGUCGGUGUCGCGUCCCACGGAAGAGUUGAGUCUUUCUUCCUCUUCACAACAACGGAUCUUCUUCUCUGGCUGGAGCCCGAGCACCGUUUAAAACGUCACAAUGCCGGAGCCUACCAUCGGAGGCACGAGGGGGGUGCGCACAUAUCUACAGCUAAUUAUUCAUCUCGUUACCGGAUCAAUUCAAUCCUUUUUAUUAAACACGCUUGGUUUUUAAUGUGUCACGGGAUAAAUGCGGGAUCCAGUCGUGCUUUUGCGAUAAUUUCUGCCGUUUUCACGCUGCAUUCUUCCCGUCGCCCAACCCCCAUUGUGCUUUGUGGAUCUCCUUCCGUUGAACUCGAAUUGAAGGUUCACGAGACGUCUGGUGGUGGUGAUCAGGUACAUCAGGAGGAUUCCACGUGAAAAUCUGAUGUUACACUUCAAUCCAAUAUUAAUAAGAAGCAUGUUUUAUUUAUUAUUUAUACUCUCAGCCAGUCAACAGCUAAUAGUCCCCAGUACACAAUGGACAACUCUGUCAGACAUUUUUCUUAUGUACAAAUACUUUAAAACACUUUUCCAUUAUGUUACAAACUGUUAUUUCUAAUCAAUGUUGUAAUUGUAAUGUUGUUCCCCCCCGUUAAUAUUUUAUUUCGGUAGUUUUACAGAGGAGGUUGCACUAUGAGACAAAUUGUGAUUUGUGAAUAUGUGCUAUAGAAAUAAAAUUAGAUUGAUUGAAUAAAGUUCCUCAGUAGCAAGAUGUUUGUAUAGAGCUAAAAACUACUUCUACUAGUAAAUCAACAAACUCAAUAUUAAUCAUAUUCGUCUCUAUUAGUUCAAUUAGGUGAAAUCAUUUACUGUCUUAAAGUAACAAAAUGAUAUUUAAAAUAGUUUAAAUUCACUAUGAUAUAUUUGUUUUUGAGGUAUUUGCGUGUUAAGAUAUAACACUGUCAGGAUCAAUGUAAAGAUUCGAGUCGAUUUUACUUCAAAGGGUGAAUUUAUGCAACAGGUACUACAAGGAACUGAAAACUUGCCUCACAGUUAGUUACAGUUAGUUGUAUAUAAUUAAAUGUUUUAAUAUAAUAUAGUGAAUACAUUUAUAAUGUGUAUUAUAAAAUGGCUGUAGGUAGAUUAAGGUCUAGCUGCAACAUGCACCUUUUUUCCGACGGCAGACAUCUUAUAUUGCAUUGUAUUGUAUUUAACAAUGAUAAAUAUGUAAUUACCUUUUCUAUAGUUUCUUGUUUAUAAACUGAAAUAACAGAUAAGUAACAAAAGUGCAUCCACACAUUAGUGUUAUAAAAUAAUGAAUGGUAAGAAGACAUACUCAAUAAAGACUUAAGACUUU